UACAAAAGUAUUUCUUAAUUAACUUCUACGAUUUCCAUCUCAUCGUAACAAAAUUUUCACGUAUCAUAAAUAUAGUUAUUAUUGUAUCUACCCAAAAUUGCAGAUCUAGCUUUAAAAUCAUUUACAAGAUUUUUCUUGAUUUUUGGGGCGGAAGUGGGAGUGGCAAAAAUUUGAAGCAAACGAACUUAACAAGUGCUAUCGAAAAAGACUUAUAUAUUUAUCUCUUAAGGACGAACGGACAGCCGGAUCAAGAAUAUAUAUAAUAAUUUAUAGGGACGGACAUAUUUCCUUUUGUCUGUUGCAUACAUUUCAUGGAGACAACAAAUUAUAAUAAGAGUAUAAAAAAUGCAUUCAAUUUUGAAAACAAUUGAGGAUAUGCCGCAGUCGUGCACACUCCUCGAGCUCAUUCACUCUGUGUUGGUCUAACUCGAUUUCUUCCACUCUAUUUUGAUGUCAUCUUUGCACAGUUUCCUCGUUGCUUCGUAUUUGCUUGGUCGAGUAUUGACCAAACGCGUAAUUUAUGCAAAUAUUCCAAUUUGCUGAACUGAAACACUUCGAAGUGAAGCAGCGAGCAGCGCUGCCGAAAUAAUUGCGUCGAUUUAUAUGAGGAAAACCCAGUGCUGCGAGCAGGGAGGGAGUGAGAGAGAGGGGGGAAAGGGGAGCGGCAGGAGGGAAUACUUGGCGCCUGAUGCUGCAGCUGCUCAUUACCCUUUUCUGGGCAGCCACCCUGCAUUCAGUGCUCUAGUUGUCGCUCCUGGUGUGCUCCAUCAAGUGGGUAUUUUUCGUACACGAAUAAACUUUAUGGCGCCAUUGUAGCAAAGUGUCGCCUUCGUCGCCAGCAGGACGACAGUCCUGCUGCUGCCUGCCUGCCUGCUCGGGAUGACAUAAUAAAGUUGCGAUAUUAGAAAUUCGAGUGAAUUUGGUGCGUUCUCGGUGGCCCAGUGGCCAGUGUGAAAGCUGCGAGGCUUCAUUAUGGUGAAAUUCCCCCUUAUUAACAUAAUGAAACAAUGAAAUAAGAACAAGUAACAGAGAGCUACAGCUAGAGCUAAAGCUACAGCUUCCCAAACUCUCAACCUCCAGCUGGAUGGCAUUGCUGGUCAUAAGGGACGCAGUGAAGCCAAGCGGCAACUUGGAAAAGCUGUCAAAUGAACGCGAUAUCUUUACGCAUUAUGCUAAUAAAUUUACAACAACAACGAGUGCAAGCCAAAAACUGUGUAGAGAAAACUCUAAUGAAAAACACGAGCUCAGAUUGGACACAGAUUGAGGAAUCACAAUGGAACGAUACACCUGUCCAUCGAAGCUAAAGCCCUGAUAGACCCUCGGAUAGGUUUUAGGUUAUCAGGCGUGGCCAAAGCACUUGAAACAAAGCACAUAGUUUGCUAGAAACAUCCAGCUAUGAACGACAUUUGAAUACGCUUUCAAGUUCAAUUUCCAAAUAUUAUUUUCAGCAUUGUUGGCAACUGAAAUAAGUUCAUUCAUAAGAUUCUUUUAAUCAGACAUUUAACAAGCAACUCAUCACAAAAUGUUCGAUAAAUCGGAAGUACAACAAAUGCUAGUUGAUGGGUGGGUGGCUUGAGGUGGCGGCUUUUGGCCAGCUGCCUCUUGGAAUUGGAAUUAUGUAGCACGUGCGAGCUUCUCAAUCACCAGAGGAUGGAUGAUGCCUGGAGAGUUCGUCACAGGAUUUGAUUUGCGCCUACACUAAACCUCGGGCUGCUUUUUUGGUUUAUGCUCUCUGAUUAUAAGUCACAAAUUGGCUUGGCCCAAUUGGUUCAGUUUUACAGGCUUCACCAUCCGCUUUCACCACCCGCCACCCGCAUCGCACAAAUACAAAUGGCCAAAUUCACUUUCGGCCAAGAGGCCGACAAACUUGGGACUUCCUUUUGCCAUUUUCCAUUUGACGCAAUCAGUUUAAUGCGAAGCCGUCGAAGUGGAAGUCAAUUUUUGAUUGCCAGCAAACCGAGAUCCCAAGUACAAAGAUUACGUAACUAGUUUUGCAAUGUACAACCAACAGCUUUAUUGUAGAUUAAUUAGUUAGUUAGUUCUUAGCGAUAUUUCAGGCAUUACACGGUAUAUACAAUUCUGCACUUUGUUGAUCAACACAGGAAUUUCGUUUAGAAUUUCGUUGAUAAAAUUCACGUAACAACGCGGAUAUUUGUUUUCGGCAUUUGCAUUUAUAUCAUGAAGAGCUAGCAAAAUCUCCCACAUUGGUAAUGGGAAUAUGAACGAAUAUAUUUUUAUUGAUAAGGGUGAACAAAGCAAACCCUCUUUGGCGACACAAUUAUCCCAACUUAAACUUUGUGCCCAUAAAUAUAUCAUCAGUGGAUAUAAUUCAUAUACUAAAUCCAAGUCGUUCUGAAUAAUGCAUUUCAGGUGCUUCACCCCUAUUAUAAUCAGCGUUUUCUUAAGAUGUUCCGUUGUAUUUUUCAGACAUUCCUUGGGUCUGCCUCGCUCUUUAAAUGAUUUUUCUAUGCACUGUGGUGUAGGAAGAAAUUUGCAGUCUUUCUCCUGGGCAUUCACUACUGUACUGCAUAGAAGCACCGAUAUACCGAAUAACAAUUUAA